UGUGGAGCUAAAAAAUUUUGAUCAUGAAAGGAUGCUUCAGACAUUGAUUAAAAUUUUUGCUGAUGGAUUUGUUUAACUAUAAUCUAUUAGUUUAAUGAGAUUAGAUUUGAUGAUUAUAGAUUAAAUUAAAUUCAUAAUUCUAAUUUGAUUAGAAGUUAUGUUUAUUUUUGAUUGAUCAAAUUAUCAUUUAUCUAAUUUGAUUAGGGUCUGAGUCAUGGUUGAUCAAGUCUAUGC
rnacentral:lncRNA from 1 species